AUAUCAGUCAUGCAUAGCAUAUCAAUAAGCGGAGGAAAAGAAACUAACAAGGAUUCCCUUAGUAACGGCGAGUGAAGCGGGAAGAGCUCAAAUUUGAAAUCUUCAAGGUUCUACCUUGACGAAUUGUAGUUUAUAGAAGUGUUUUCUGUUAGUAGAGUGGCAAAAGUUCUUUGGAAUAGGACAUCAUAGAGGGUGAGAAUCCCGUAUUUGGUCAUUCUUCUAGCGUUGUGAUACACUUUCAACGAGUCGGAUUGUUUGGGAAUGCAGUCCAAAAUGGGUGGUAAAUUUCAUCUAAAGCUAAAUAUUGGCGAGAGACCGAUAGCGAACAAGUACCGUGAGGGAAAGAUGAAAAGAACUUUGAAAAGAGAGUUAAACAGUACGUGAAAUUGUCAAAGGGGAAGCGUUUGACACCAGUGUUGUUUUUCCGAAAAUCAAUUACGAAUGUUUUGUUUUUGAGAAGUUAUGACUUCAUCGGCUUGCUUCUUCUUUACGAAACUUUCUUAAUGCACUUUUCGGUUAACAAGUCAACAUCAAUUUCUUUUGUUGUAAAAGGGUACUGAGGAAGGUGGCUUUCUUUUCGGAGAAAGUGUUUAUAGCCUUGUAGCCUCUGCAAUCGGAGAGAUUGAGGUCUGCAGCGUAGAUCCUUCGGGGUUAGAUACAGUUUGUGCUAAGUUAUAGCUUUUCAUAGACAACUUGUUGACUAUGUUAGUCUUGUAGCUUACUCGCUGAUGCUAUUUUACCUACGCUUAGGAUGUUGAUCUCUCACAGUCGAGC
rnacentral:rRNA from 1 species